UCCUAUCUACUUUUAUUGAAAUGUUAUGAUUUCUUUGCUCUUAUAGAAUUUUGAAUUAUCUGCCCUAUGCAGAUGUCUUUACUAAUCAUUUAAGUGUAAUUUCAUGGACAAUGAAAAUCCCAUUUGUCUGUUAUCUUCAGAACACUGCUCAUUUACAAGCCCCCAAGGAGCAAUUUUUGAAGGCCUUGUGCAACAAAUACUUAAGAUCUUUGUGCAAUCAGUUUCUUUGUUGAAUUAAUGAGAUGAAACAUUGAACUCUAAUAAAAAAUAUUGAGCAAACCUGG
rnacentral:lncRNA from 1 species